CGGAAACGAUGGUAGCUUGCUACCAGGCGUCUGAGCGGCGGACGGGUGAGUAAUACUUAGGAAUCUACCUAGUAGUGGGGGAUAGCACGGGGAAACUCGUAUUAAUACCGCAUACGACCUACGGGAGAAAGGGGGCAGUUUACUGCUCUCGCUAUUAGAUGAGCCUAAGUCGGAUUAGCUAGAUGGUGGGGUAAAUGGCCUACCAUGGCGACGAUCUGUAGCUGGUCUGAGAGGAUGAUCAGCCACACCGGGACUGAGACACGGCCCGGACUCCUACGUGGAGGCAGCAGUGGGGAAUAUUGGACAAUGGGGGAAACCCUGAUCCAGCCAUGCCGCGUGUGUGAAGAAAGGCCUUUAAGGUUGUAAAGCACUUAACGGCAGUGCAAGAACGACUCUUCGGUUAAAUACCCGGAGAACGAUGGACAAUUAGCUGCAGAAUAAGCAACCGGGCUAACUCUGGUGCCAGCAAGCCCGCGGGUAAUACAGAGGGUGCAAGCGUCUAAUUCGGAAUUACCUGGGCGUAAAGCGAGCGUAGGUGGGCUUGAUAAGUCAGAUGUGAAAUCCCCGGGCUUAACCUGGGAUACUGCAUCUGAAACUGUUAGGCUAGAGUAGGUGAGAGGGAAGUAGAAUUUCAGGUGUAGCGGUGAAAUGCGUAGAGAUCUGAAGGAAUACCGAUGGCGAAGGCAGCUUCCUGGCAUCAUACUGACACUGAGGCUCGAAAGCGUGGGUAGCAAACAGGAUUAGAUACCCUGGUAGUCCACGCCGUAAACAGAUCGUCUACUAGUCGUUGGGUCCCUUGAGGACUUAGUGACGCAGCUAACGCAAUAAGUAGACCGCCUGGGGAGUACGGCACGCAAGGUUAAAACUCAAAUGAAUUGACGGGGGCCCGCACAAGCAGGUGGAGCAUGUGGUUUAAUUCGAUGCAACGCGAAGAACACUUACCUGGUCGUUGACAUAUCUAGAAUCACUGCAGA
rnacentral:rRNA from 1 species